GUGGACUUGUCUGCCGGGCCAUUUCCUUCCCACCUAAGCUCCUGCCAGAUGGCUCCCAGUUGCUGUGUUUGAGCCCAGGCUGACCACUUCCUAGGCAGUGGCAUUGGAGGUGGGUGUGGACUUGCCUCCAGGAUCUACUCACAGCUUGUGCUUCCUGACAGCUGUGGACACUUGGGCUGACUGCAGACCUCCCGCUACCCUGAUUUCCAGCAGAAAUAAUCAGCUCUUGCAGCUCAGCUGCGGGCACCCUUUGUGCGCUGGAAGGGAGAUCCAGUCACGGGGCAGAGUGAUCCCCUGAAGUUCCAGAAGUGCAGGGGAAGUAUCUCCUCAGAGGCGGCUAUUCCUGAAUGAGAAGUCCUCGGCAUCGGGGGCAAGAAAGUAUGCCCACUGGAGCGCAGC
rnacentral:lncRNA from 1 species